rnacentral:rRNA from 1 species
CUUGAACGCUGGCGGCAGGCCUAACACAUGCAAGUCGAACGCGUGGCGGACGGGUGAGUAAUGUCUGGGAAACUUCCUGAUGGAGGGGGAUAACUCCUGGAAACUGUAGCUAAUACCGCAUACCAUCAGAUGGGCCCAGAUGGGCUUAGCUAGUUGGUGAGGUAACGGCUCACCAAGGCGACGAUCACUAGCUGGUCUGAGAGGAGGACCAGCCACACUGGAACUGAGACACGGUCCAGACUCCUACGGGAGGAAGCAGUGGGGAAUAUUGCACAAUGGGCGCAAGCCUGAUGCAGCCAUGCCGCGUGUAUGAAGAAGGCCUUCGGGUUGUAAAGUACUUUCAGCGGGGAGGCGUUACCCGCAGAAGAAGCACCGGCUAACUCCGUGCCAGCAGCCGCGGUAAUUC